GCAUAUCAAUAAGCGGAGGAAAAGAAACUAACAAGGAUUCCCCUAGUAACUGCGAGUGAAGCGGGAAGAGCUCAAAUUUAAAAUCUGACGGUCUCUGGCCGUCCGAGUUGUAACCUGAAGGAGCGUUUUCCGCGUCGGACCGUGUACAAGUCUCCUGGAACGGAGCGUCAUAGAGGGUGAGAAUCCCGUCCAUGACACGGACGCCCGGUGCUUUGUGAUACGCUCCCGAAGAGUCGCGUUGUUUGGGAAUGCAGCGCAAAAUGGGUGGUAAAUUCCAUCUAAAGCUAAAUAUUGGCGAGAGACCGAUAGCGAACAAGUACCGUGAGGGAAAGAUGAAAAGCACUUUGGAAAGAGGGUUAAACAGUACGUGAAAUUGUUGAAAGGGAAACGCUUGAAGUCAGUCGCGUCUUGCGGAACUCAGCCUUGCUUCGGCCUGGUGUACUUUCCGCUCGACGGGUCAACAUCAAUUUCAACCGGUGGACAAAGGCGAGGGGAAUGUAGCGUCGCUUCGGCGACGUGUUAUAGCCCCGCGUCAGAUGCACCGGCUGGGAUUGAGGACCGCAGCGCGCCCUUGUGGCCGGGGGUUCGCGCCCCACGUACCGCGCUCAGGAUGUUGGCAUAAUGGCUUUAAGCGACCCGUCUUGAAACACGGACC
rnacentral:rRNA from 1 species